rnacentral:rRNA from 1 species
UUUGUUAUCCAGAUUACUGGCGACACGUAACGUCCAUAAACCCGUUGCAGUUAAAGCGAGUAAAGCGAUCAAGAUAAUUCCUGAUAAUAAAU